AUGGGGAGGCCAAAAGGGAGAUGGAGUGGGAAGGUAAUCUUCCCCUUGAGUCUGGUCGCCCUUUGCCGAAUUCCAUGUUGUCCAGCUGUUAAUGGCCUGCAGAAGUCCACUGGUACCUGUCGGUGUGCUCUUCUGUUCCUUGUAGUACUCUUGAGAGAACUCUGGUUAAUCUUAGGGCUAUGCUUCUUAAACAGGGUUUACAGAGGUUUUGAAAGCCACAGAAUAAAUGUAGCACAUUAUCCUGGAGAGUCUUUACUAGAGAUUUGGGGUAAAAAUCAUCUUUCUUGAUAUUAAAAGGAAGAACACAUGCAUUGUGAAUUGGAAGGCAACAAUAAUGUGAAUUUUUAAUAUAAAACCAGAGGUUUUAAAGAAAUAAUAAACUUAUAAUAGGUGGAUUUAGGUUGUCUCCCUAACCCUUACCCAGGGGAUAGGUGAAAAUUCUAGUUUACUUCUAUAGGCCCUCUGUUGGACAUUUUUGAGCAAUUAGAUACAUGUUUUUAUGAACCCAGAAAUGAUCAUACACUUCUCGUUGACUAAACUAGAAGUUUUAACACUGAAAUUUCAACUUUAAAGUGUUUAGUCCACAGGCUGAAUCUGACAUACUGGCUAAAUCUAAUCAAUAGACGUGUUUAGUUGGAUCCAUGCUCUGUUACCUUUUUCAUUUAGUUGCUAGGAAUCAAAUUCCUCCUAAUAAUCCAGUUUCUCUUUAAAAAUUAAAGGGAAGAUUUGGGAACAUUGAGCUUGGUCUCCUGCAUAACAGGACUCAAUUAGAGCGAAAUAGUGCUGUUGCCUUUACAGAGUAGCUCACUCCAGUUCGGACCCAGCCCACUUCCCUCAGUGUGUUACCUGCCUGAUUGCUCUGGACAUUUCAAUUUGUGACCCCCAACUUCAGCUAAGAUACCACCAGAGUUUUUCUUGCUUUAUCUUUACAGGAUUCAUGUCUUCUCCGAAUUUUUAUUAUGUGUCUUCCCAGUGACCAUGGCUAUCAUGGUAAUCUGCAAAGAGAUUUAGAUUUUUUUUGCAUUCUGUGGACUAGUCCUUACUUAAGCAUUAAUUUCACCUGUAUAUGGAGAAGCUACUGUGCACAAUAGCUGUCUGAAGACUGAGUCCGUAGGCUGAUGUCUGCUGCCUUGAUAUCAGGGACCUAUAUAAGCUGCUCAUUUCUGCUUUUCACCCACUCUUUGGGUGAAGGUAACCCUUUCAGUUAUCAUCAUUGAUUUUAAAACGUGUUGUGAAAGAGGCAAACAACAACUUUGUUAUGAGGAGCAAGUGUAGAAAACUUGAUUUCUUAACAGCUACAGUGUGAGUGAAAGACCCUUAGAAAGGGAGUUAGGGACCAUGUGUUGCAGUCCUAACUCUGCACUUACUUUAAGUUCUCAGGCAUGACAACUGACUGAGUUGGUGAUGCUCAGCUUUGUAUUCUGAUUUGGAUAUUAUAUCACCUGCCUUGCCUAUCUCACAGCGUACUGAGAAACUCAAAUGUAGCAGUGUAAAUGAAAUAGCUUAAAGACCAUAAAAUCUUUACAAAUGUAAGAUAUCUAGUUCAUAGAGAAUUCUAAACUGGUAAUUUCCCUGUGACCACCAGAAUCUCAUACUGUUAAGUGCUUAGUAGUCAUUUUACCAGGUGGUGAUGUAGUUUCUAUUUUUAAAGACUAAAGAGAAAAUUCAAUUACAAUAAAAUGUGUCUUUAUUGACUGAGCUGGGCCUUAAAAUGAUAAACGAAUUUUUGCUAUCCCUUGUUUGGUGAAUAUCAGAGUUGUCUACCACUAGCUCUAAACAAGAAAUAAUAAAGUUAUAUAAAAAUGUGUUUGAUUUUUACAGGCUUAGAGGUCACUGAGACCAGCUUUAUAUUCAUUAUUUGUUAACACCAUUUUUCUUUCAUGCACUGUGGAUUCGUGAGGGUCUUUUUCCUUUUGGGCAGUCAGGAAUAUGAAUUUGUUUUAUAUUGAUCUGCUUACGGUAGUUGGUGUAACAGCGUCUUGUAGCAGACAUGCUGCUGGUCAUAUCUCAUUUUACCUUUUAUAAAAAUCAUAGUGUUUCUCAUAUGUGGCAGAAAACAUCAGUGUUUCUCCUUGAACAAUGCUGAACAAGUCAUUUGAUGUUUUCUGGCUUGGCUCUUAAAUCUUGCGUGGUGUGGAUUACAAAAAAAAAGGAGACAUUAGGGAUUCUAUCAUCAAUCUCAUUCUUCAGAGCUUUGAAAAUAAAACUUUGAAAGGCACUAGAUUUUCUACAGCCGUGGAGGUUUCUGGCAUUUUAAAUUCAUAAUGAUGAGUUGCACAAUAAUCCUUUUCAAAAAGGAAGCAGAACUCCAUUUGUUCUGUUACUUAUGGUGACCUAUAGUCAGAAUUUUAAAAGCUGUUCUGGAGUUUAAAAUGUAGAGUUUAGGACCACAGAUACAGUCUACCCUGUAAAAAAUCAUUUUUAAAAAUUUUGAUUAUUUCUUUGAACAAGCCAAGAAAUUGUUAAGAAACUUGUAUUUUAGAGAGAUCUGUUCUUUAUAAAUACUACACUAUAGGUCACAUGGAAAUUAUCCUAAUUCUAUUUAGAAAUGCCUUACUAAUCAUCAAUACUUCAUUCAGUAUUUGUUUUUCUCUUUAUAACAUCACCAACAGUUGCUGAUAAGAUUUUAUGUUUCUUAAAGUGUGUUCUGUAGAACACUGAUUCCAAGAGAGGCCUCCUCAAAG
ensembl:lncRNA